GACGAACGCUGGCGGCGUGCCUAAUACAUGCAAGUUGAGCGCUGAAGGUUGGUACUUGUACCGACUGGAUGAGCAGCGAACGGGUGAGUAACGCGUGGGGAAUCUGCCUUUGAGCGGGGGACAACAUUUGGAAACGAAUGCUAAUACCGCAUAAAAACUUUAAACACAAGUUUUAAGUUUGAAAGAUGCAAUUGCAUCACUCAAAGAUGAUCCCGCGUUGUAUUAGCUAGUUGGUGAGGUAAAGGCUCACCAAGGCGAUGAUACAUAGCCGACCUGAGAAGGUGAUCGGCCACAUUGGGACUGAGACACGGCCCAAACUCCUACGGGAGGCAGCAGUAGGGAAUCUUCGGCAAUGGACGAAAGUCUGACCGAGCAACGCCGCGUGAGUGAAGAAGGGUUUCGGAUCGUAAAACUCUGUUGGUAGAGAAGAACGUUGGUGAGAGUGGAAAGCUCAUCAAGUGACGGUAACUACCCAGAAAGGGACGGCUAACUACGUG
rnacentral:rRNA from 1 species